UGGGGAAUAUUGCGCAAUGGGGGAAACCCUGACGCAGCGACGCCGCGUGGGUGAGGAAGGUUUUAGGAUCGUAAAGCCCUGUCAAGUGGGAAGAAGAAAGUGACGGUACCACUAAAGGAAGCACCGGCUAACUCCGUGCCAGCAGCCGCGGUAAUACGGAGGGUGCAAGCGUUAUUCGGAUUUAUUGGGCGUAAAGAGAGCGUAGGCGGUCUGUUAAGUCAGGGGUGAAAGCCCCAGGCUCAACCUGGGAAGUGCCUUUGAAACUGGCAGACUUGAGUACGAGAGAGGGUAGCGGAAUUCCAAGUGUAGAGGUGAAAUUCGUAGAUAUUUGGAGGAACACCGGUGGCGAAGGCGGCUACCUGGACCGAUACUGACGCUGAGGCUCGAAAGCGUGGGGAGCAAACA
rnacentral:rRNA from 1 species